rnacentral:miRNA from 1 species
AGGGGGCAAUCUCACCUCAAC